UCCCCAGUGGCACAAUCGGUUAGCGCGCCGUAAUUAUAAUGCGGAGGUUGUGAGUUCGAGCCUCACCUGGGGAA
rnacentral:tRNA from 1 species